GGGAAAUCGGGGAAAUUGACUUUGGCAGAGAGUAAAGCAAUUUCGGGCCACACAGAAACGACGCCGUUUUAGUUAAAAAAAUUUAGAUUUUGUGGCGUUUUCAUAAAACGCCACUAAUAAAAAUAACAACAAAGUAUAAAACGACAGCAUUUUGCUUCCAUGGAUAAUUGUGGCGUUUUUCAAUAAAACGCCGGUAAAUUUUAAUAUCAUUUAGCCUUUAUAUUUUUAUAAUAUUAUUAAUUAAUCAAAAUACUUAAUAUUAUUAACACUAAUUAAUCAAAACUCUAUACCUUAAACCAUUAAACUAUAUCCCUAUAACCUUAAUCCCUAAAGUAUAUCCCUUAAACCCUAAACUAUAUCCCCUAACCAUAAACCACAAAAUAAUAACCCCUAAGCCUUAACCACAAAAUGUAUAGAUU
rnacentral:lncRNA from 1 species